CUCAAUCAAUUGUUGCUUUGCCACCUGUGAGUUCUUGGGGAGGCAAUCAAAGGUGUAAGGGAGCUCUACGUGUAUACAGAAUUGACCACGGGCUAGAUGACCUCUUGAUUUUAUAUCAAAAUUCCUCUUGUGCAAAUUAUCUACCCAA